rnacentral:rRNA from 1 species
AGGACGAACGCUGGCGGCGUGCUUAACACAUGCAAGUCGAACGGUAAGGCCCUUCGGGGUACACGAGUGGCGAACGGGUGAGUAACACGUGGGUGAUCUGCCCUGCACUUCGGGAUAAGCUUGGGAAACUGGGUCUAAUACCGGAUAUGACUACGAAUCGCAUGGUUUGUGGUGGAAAGCUUUUGCGGUGUGGGAUGGGCCCGCGGCCUAUCAGCUUGUUGGUGGGGUGAUGGCCUACCAAGGCGACGACGGGUAGCCGGCCUGAGAGGGUGUCCGGCCACACUGGGACUGAGAUACGGCCCAGACUCCUACGGGAGGCAGCAGUGGGGAAUAUUGGACAAUGGGCGAAAGCCUGAUCCAGCAACGCCGCGUGAGGGAUGACGGCCUUCGGUUGUAACCUCCUUCAGCAGGGACGAAGCGCAAGUGACGGUACCUGCAGAAGAAGCACCGGCCAACUACGUGCCAGCAGCCGC